UAAUUGGUGGAUUUUCCGUUCUGAAACGGGUAUUGAAAAACAAAAAAAUGAGUGGUUAUUUGAUUUUCGUUUUAAAAUACAAAAAUUAAAAUUGAAAUACAAGGCGUUUUGCCUUUUCAUGAUCAAAAAGGGAUAUAAGAUUUUUAUUUAAAAUGCUUUGAUUUUCGAUUUAUAUUUAGAAUAACAAGAAAGUAAAAUCAGUAAGAGACAGAAACGAAAAAAGGUCCGUUUUUUCAUUUUCUGAGACCGGAAGUGGUCAUCAGCAAGUGUGCAGCCAAACUGAGUAUGGUGCAUAGACUGUAUAUAAUUUUUUUUCGUUAGUUUUCAUGGUCAAAAUGAGAGAUCAGGUGGCCCAUCUUAAAAUAAAUCAAUAUUGAUUUUUUUAUAGAGCGUUAAAGUUUUGCGAAGCCAGGGGGCGGGACUCCUUGAUUGACAGUCCGGUCUGGAGUGAUUGACAGGUCCUAUGGAGGCGGAAACAGAGACUCUGUUCUCCUCGUUUGGAUUAAUUCUGAUAUAAUAACUGUUGGUUUAUUUAUCGGUGGAGAAGCACAACAUUUUCCACAGACAGUUUUCCUGCCCGUUGGCUUGUUUUAACCAGUUUUCUACCUUCGGCUGAUUCUACCAGCAUACACUGAAAGGACUCUAAUAGUUCGGUAAGUAAAUGUUUAUUUUCGUAUCGGUGCCGCUUUUAAUGCACUUUAUAUGCAGCUUUAGUGUCAGAUGUAACGUGUGCCAUGCACUCCAGAUGUUGAUGGAGUUUGUUUCAGUGUGUGUUGACCAGAGAAGAAAGUUAGCAUAGUAAAUAUUAGCUUUAAUGUUAGCGAUGCUAACCGAGCUAGCUGCUAGUCGUAGCCUGAUUAAAGCUAAUGUACCAUCAAGCUAAUGUGUUGAGUUUCAUAUAAACAGCUGAAGUGUGUUGUGUUGCUGUAAUGUGGUUCAUUAAGUUCAUAAAACUGUGGCUGGUUGACAUUAAUGUAACGUUCAGGAAACUUAAAUGUGAUCAAAACAGUAACGUUAAUGUUCUAGUUGUCAGUAAUCAGCUUUAAUUUGACACUAAAACAGACUGAUAGUUUUAAAUGACAUCAGUUUCAUUAAUUUGUUGAAAAUUGUCUCAUUUGUUUUUAUGAUGUUGCUGCUGAUUCAUUAAAAGCAGAUGAUCCAUGUUGAAGAUACGUUUAGUUCUAGUAUCAGAAGUACAAGAAGGAAAAUGGAAGUUUAGUUCUGCUACGUCAAAGAUUUCAGGAUUAAAAUAACUAAAUGAGUCUUUAUGCCUCAAACUUUAUUUUUACAAUAAAGAAAUAAUGAAAUAAUCACAGAUAAUAAAAAUAUAAAUAGCAGAGAAAACCUGAGAGAAUAAUUUCCUGAAAAGUCUGUGAAGGAAAAGCAGCUUUUUAUCCUGAAAGAUCAGAAUCAGCUCCAACAUCUGCAUCUGACAGCAUCAAGUCAGCCAGAAAGAAAAGAAAAAAGAAAAUGACUUCUUUCUGAUCACAUCUGUCCUGCUGCUCACAGUCUGCUGCUGCUCACAUUCUUCACAUUUAUAGUCCACUUUUAAAAGUUCAGCAGAUAGGUGCUCUGCUUUGGAGUGUGACGAUGUCGUCGGUGAUGUGGAGAGUGAAGUUUCCGUUUCACCCACAGCGUGCUUUAGGGCAGCCGGGUCAGACUUGAUGUUUGAAAUACUGACCGACAGCUCAGAUUUAACUGUCUGUAGUUCUGUUUUGAUGGGUGUUAAACUUUCACUCAAAGCCACCAGGAGCUGGGUCUUUAAAAUAACCACCGUCUCGUUACAGAGUGAAAGUAGCAAUUCCUCCUUAAAGUCAGAGAUUGCAGCAUCUGAGGGCCUCUUCAAAAGAAGAUGUAGUUGAUGAAGGCGUUCUGGAGCAGGACCAGAAAGACCAUAAACCAAGCAGCCUUGAGAUCUUAGGCAGUGUCUCCCUCAGGUCUCUCUCUAUCUCCCCACACAUCCACCAACCACUGGAACACAUCUCCAAAGUUCUGCCAGGCCAGCUCAGCUUCCCCUCAGAAGAAGUGCCGCCACCUGCCAGAUGAAGGAGCCUUUUGAGAGGCAGCUGGCAUCGUGAUUGGACUGUACUUUGGUCUGUUCCAAUCCAGCUUCAGCUCCAGAGACGGCAGGCGGGACGAGUCAACGGAGGCCGGGUGGACGAAGGCAUGCAGCUGAGUACAAUCCAGAAAACAACAGAGGAGGAGUGCAGCGGUCCAGGGCCAGAACAAACAGAGUAGCAUCGUAUGUCUCUUAGAAAACAUCAUAGUAUAGCCUUUGGUAUGAAAAAACGCCAUCAUAUACAUCGUAUAUUGUACAAAUAACAAGUCAAAGCAAAGAGACAUACAUUGUAGAAUUGUAGUAAUUGUGGGCUGACUGAUUUACUGAUUAUCAGUAGUUUAUUUUUUACUGAUUUACGGUAAUGAAUACAUUUUAAAAUGG